AUACGUAGGUGGCAAGCGUUGUCCGGAAUUAUUGGGCGUAAAGCGCGCGCAGGCGGUCCUUUAAGUCUGAUGUGAAAGCCCACGGCUCAACCGUGGAGGGUCAUUGGAAACUGGAGGACUUGAGUGCAGAAGAGGAAAGUGGAAUUCCAAGUGUAGCGGUGAAAUGCGUAGAGAUUUGGAGGAACACCAGUGGCGAAGGCGACUUUCUGGUCUGCAACUGCCGCUGAGGCGCGAAAGCGGGGGGAGCAAACAGGAUUAGAUCCCCUGGUAGUCCACGCCGUAAACGAUGAGUGCUAAGUGUUAGGGGGUUUCCGCCCCUUAGUGCUGCAGCUAACGCAUUAAGCACUCCGCCUGGGGAGUACGGUCGCAAGACUGAAACUUAAAGGAAGUGACGGUG
rnacentral:rRNA from 1 species